GAUGAAGAACGCAGCGAAAUGCGAUAAGUAAUGUGAAUUGCAGAAUUCAGUGAAUCAUCGAAUCUUUGAACGCAUCUUGCGCUCCUUGGUAUUCCGAGGAGCAUGCCUGUUUGAGUGUCAUUAAAGUUCUCAACCAUGCCAGUUUUCUCUGGUCCAUGGCCUUGGAUGUGGGGGGUAUAUCAUUUUGCUGGCUUUGGAGACAAAGUCGGCUCCCCUGAAAUGCAUUAGUAGUAUUCGAGCAGAAAUCUACCACAGGUGUGAUGAAUUAUCUAUGCCUUGGUAUCAACUGUGUGCACUGCUUUCUCUAACAACAUUUGACAAAUUUGACCUCAAAUCAGGCAGGACUACCCGCUGAACUUAAGCAUAUCAAUAAGCGGAGGA
rnacentral:misc_RNA from 1 species